rnacentral:ncRNA from 1 species
CAGUCGUCCUAACUGGUAACGGUUAGAGAUUAUGACCGGGUGAAUUGCUGGAAAACCCUGAGAGCUUUUCUUGCCACAACGAAGCUGGAAACAGCAGGCGUGAGGGCUUGAAAAAAGAAGAGAUUGGGCAAUCAGCAGCCAAGCUCCUGUCUCGAAAGAGUGGAGAAGGUUCAACGACUAGGAUAAACCGCCUAAGGCGCGUGCUAUGGCGAUGAAAUCCGUAGGUGAGGUAAUGCCGUUCAACAUUGCCAAUCCGAAGUGCCCGGCUCCUCCAGAAAGCUGGAGGAUGAAGAUAUAGUCUUGUCAUUUGUGAAAGCAAAUG